rnacentral:rRNA from 1 species
GAUGAACGCUAGCGAUAGGCCUAACACAUGCAAGUCGAGGGGUAGCACAGAGUAGCAAUACUUGGGUGACGACCGGCGCACGGGUGAGUAACACGUAUGCAACCUACCUAUAACAGGGAGAUAACCCGGAGAAAUCCGGACUAAUACCCCACAACACAGGGAUGCCGCAAGGCAAUAUUUGUUAAAGAUUAAUCGGUUAUAGAUGGGCAUGCGUUCCAUUAGCCAGUUGGUGAGGUAACGGCUCACCAAAGCAACGAUGGAUAGGGGAACUGAGAGGGUUGUCCCCGACACUGGAACUGAGACACGGACCAGACUCCUACGGGAGGCAGCAGUGAGGAAUAUUGGUCAAUGGGCGAGAGCCUGAACCAGCCAAAUCGCGUGAAGGAAGACUGUCCUACGGGUUGUAAACUUCUUUUAUAGGGGAAUAAAAAAGGGAACGAGAUCCCUAUUGUAUGUACCCUAUGAAUAAGCAUCGGCUAACUCCGUGCCAGCCGCCGCGGUAAAAC